AAAGACAGAAAAAGGUGUUGAAAAAUUAUCUGUCAGGAUUCAGGUGAAAUAUACCUGUGGUGGGGGAGAUGCUAUCCGACAUGCACUCUCUCGCUCCCGUAGUU
rfam:Marine metagenome ctg_1101667319971, whole genome shotgun sequence.